UACGGGAGGCAGCAGUGGGGAAUAUUGCACAAUGGGCGAAAGCCUGAUGCAGCAACGCCGCGUGAAGGAAGAAGGUCUUCGGAUUGUAAACUUCUUUUAUGAGGGACGAAGGACGUGACGGUACCUCAUGAAUAAGCCACGGCUAACUACGUGCCAGCAGCCGCGGUAAU
rnacentral:rRNA from 1 species